CAGCAGCCGCGGGAAUACGGAGGGUGCAAGCGUUAAUCGGAAUUACUGGGCGUAAAGCGCACGCAGGCGGUCUGACAAGUCAGAUGUGAAAUCCCCGGGCUUAACCUGGGAACUGCAUUUGAAACUGUCAGGCUGGAGUCUUGUAGAGGGGGGUAGAAUUCCAGGUGUAGCGGUGAAAUGCGUAGAGAUCUGGAGGAAUACCGGUGGCGAAGGCGGCCCCCUGGACAAAGACUGACGCUCAGGUGCGAAAGCGUGGGGAGCAAACAGGAUUAGAGACCCCAGUAGUCCCUGUCUCUUAUAC
rnacentral:rRNA from 1 species